rnacentral:rRNA from 1 species
UACGUAGGGUGCAAGCGUUAAUCGGAAUUACUGGGCGUAAAGCGUGCGCAGGCGGUUUUGUAAGGCAGAUGUGAAAUCCCCGGGCUUAACCUGGGAACUGCGUUUGAAACUACAAGGCUAGAGUGUGGCAGAGGGGGGUGGAAUUCCACGUGUAGCAGUGAAAUGCGUAGAGAUGUGGAGGAACACCGAUGGCGAAGGCAGCCCCCUGGGUUAACACUGACGCUCAGGCACGAAAGCGUGGGGAGCGAACAGG